UACGAAGGGGGCGAGCGUUGUUCGGAUUUACUGGGCGUAAAGGGCGCGCAGGCGGUCUUGAAAGUCAGGCGUGAAAGCCCCGGGCUUAACCUGGGAAUUGCGCUUGAUACUCUGAGACUGGAGUACGGGAGAGGAGAGUGGAAUUCCCAGUGUAGAGGUGAAAUUCGUAGAUAUUGGGGAAGAACACCAGUGGCGAAGGCGGCUCUCUGGACCGUAACUGACGCUGAGGCGCGAAAGCGUGGGGAGCAAACAGG
rnacentral:rRNA from 1 species